AGGGUGUAAACGCUGCAGACUUGGUGUUGGGAACCCUUCGGGGGUGCUCAGUGCCGGAGAGAAGUUGUUAAGUCUGCUACUUGGGGAGUACGUCCGCAAGGAUGAAACUUAAAGGAAUUGGCGGGGGAGCACCGCAACGGGAGGAGCGUGCGGUUUAAUUGGACUCAACGCCGGACAACUCACCGGGAACGACAGCAAUAUGUAGGCCAGGCUGAAGACCUUGCCUGAAUCGCUGAGAGGUGGUGCAUGCGUAGACGUCU
rnacentral:rRNA from 1 species